UACGAAGGGGGCUAGCGUUGCUCGGAAUGACUGGGCGUAAAGGGUGCGUAGGUGGCCCCGUAAGUCAGUGGUGAAAUAUCUCAGCUUAACUGAGAGGGUGCCAUUGAUACUGCGGGGCUUGAGUACAGAUGAGGUAGGCGGAAUUGACGGUGUAGCGGUGAAAUGCAUAGAUAUCGUCAAGAACACCGAUAGCGAAGGCAGCUUACCAAGCUGUAACUGACACUGAGGCACGAAAGUGUGGGGAUCAAACAGG
rnacentral:rRNA from 1 species